rnacentral:lncRNA from 1 species
UUGACUAACGAAAAAACUAAUGAGGGGACCAGUUUAUUAACAUAAUGUAAAAGUAUAGGGAUUGGUACAUACAUAGCAAAAUGCAGCAAUAAAAUGUAAAAGGGUCUGAUAACAAUGCGAAAUAUAAAACAAAAGGUAAGGAUGUUUAGAAAUUCAAAGCUUGGAUCUUGCACACUUCCCUCCUGGAUACAGGGGUUUGUUACCAUUGCCAGUGGGUAUGGCGUUUUGAGACUUGGUCUCCAUUGCAAGCAUCUUCAGAGAUAUUUUACGCAGAUAAUCAGACUGAAAUCAGAUAUCAAUAACAAAAUAUUAGAUCUCGGAGCAGUCCAUGUUACAAGAGAGGGGGGGAAAGGGAUAUAUGAUCUUUCUAAUAUGCUUCUGUAUCCUAUCUUUUUAUUUAAUUAUUUAUGUAUUGAUUCGUUAUUUGCAUUUUGCAUACUUCCCUUGUACUUGAAAAGAACCUUGGUCGCUCUAAAUAAAACACUUGUCAAGAGAAUUAACAGCAGAUGAGAACUUCUACAGAAUGACCAAUGAGGAAGUGUGGACACACCACACACACGUGUACUAGCAUGAAUCCACAAACUUAUGCAUGUGUAUAUUCAUGUCUAGAGAAUAUCCAAAUUAUUGAACCUCGCAUUAGCCGAAUACCUGAUUGGUGGCGGCAGUAUAAAUCUUUUCCUCAAACCGUACGGCAAUUUUCUUGAGUUCUUGUAAUCCCUCCUGACCAGAAAACGGAAGAUGCCUCUUUAAUGUCUCCAUUCUGCACAUGUAAAACACUGCAUUUAAUUUUUAAUGACAAGGCAGGUAUAGAGAAGUUAGCAGUAGUGAGAAAGAACCGUGAACUCAUACACCACACCAAUAUCAGAAAUAUAUACAACAGAAUCAUUAGCAAAAAGUAAAAACGAAUAACGAUAUAGCCGAGUGUCAGUCAAGUAAUAUAUGGCAUCAAAAUACAGACAUCUAUUUUUACUUCCUUUCCCCGUAUUAUUCCAGAGGUAGGAGUUUACUUGGCCACCCUUCUGUCUAAAAUUUUAGUUACGAGCUUCAUGGUUAAUUUUCUUGAACUGGAAGAACCUUCCAUUUAUGGCUAUGGCUAUGCUCCAAGAUAUAAAAGUGAAUUAGUUGCAAACCAGGGGAACUCUGUGAAAACAUUACAAUAGCAUUUACUCUGAGUAAGAAAACUUUUAUACAUGCACUGUAAUUGACAAAGAAAAGAAGAGAAAUCCUUUAAUUUAUGAAAAUGCAUUGAGUUAACCUUAUCUCACGCCGCAAUAUAUACUUUACAGUGCUCAUUGGCUACUGCAAGUGCCAACAGUAGCUGUCUAUAUGAUUUUGGAUGUAGAGAUAUCACCAAAACAUUCAACUUUAUACUGAGAAACUAGGAAACCAUACACUAUUGUGGCUAAUUGAUUUUUGUCUGCUGCUUUUGUACUUUAAGAUCACUAUCAUUUCAAUCCUGUAGAAGUAAAGCAAAUAGAAGGCCCAAAUCCAACACUAUUCAUUUAAGUUCAGUUGCAACUCAAGGUUGAAAUUGAAACACCAAUGCUCAUAGCAAUAGAUUAACCUUGAAAUUUAAAGCGGAACAAGCUUCAUGCAGCCAUCCAAGAGGUCAUCAUCAAAAGAAGAUGUUACACAAGAAGUUCCAACAAAAAUUACUUCCCAGCACUUUUUAUUCCCUCAAGUUCACUUCUUGUGAGAAACAAGUGAAAAAUGAAAAAGACAAAAACAGAGGUGUAUGAUACUUGAGGUUGCCUCAUGGCAGUCCUGCUGAUUUUAAUUAACCUUUUGCCCUUCUCUUUUUCUUUCAUUUAAAUACAAGAUUUACUAUUUUGCAGCACUUGCACAUAUUAGGAAACAGAUACUUACAUUUUGUUGACUAUUCUUUGCCGUGAGACAGGCUGCAAUUGAGUUCUCCAAUCACCUGUGUCCAUCACAGGUUCUCCGCCUAAUCAAAGUCAUGAAAAUUGGAAUAUCAGUUUAUUCAGACUUGAAUAGAUUUAAAGAGAACUUCCAUCUAAUAGCAUGUACUUUAUUAAAGAAUUCUACCAAACAUGGAUGCAUAAAAUCUGAACAGCCAUAACAAAUAUACACGACCAUUCAGGGCAAGGUGCUAGGAUCUUGGGUAUUCGAGUAUUGUAAGCAAGAUUUGGGCCUGAAUCUUCAUGGUGCUUCUAAAACCAAGGAAGCAAAAAACUAGCCAGCUAGUUCAUAACUUGCCGCACCAACAGAUGGUGAGUGUUGGUAAACCAAGCCAUAGAGAAACUCAUGGUGCUUCAAUUUUAACUUGAUGUUUUCUAGCACACUUGUGAUGCAUCAUCGAUGCAAUGUUUACAAUGACAAACUUGCAUUUCUAUUCAUUGUGGUUUUAGGUUCACAGAUUCUGAUCAAAUAGAUAUUUAAUGUUCCAAAAACAUUGUAUACACAUUUAAAUGCUUUACUUCAAUAGAUAGAUUAAGUUAUCUCUCUAGAUAUAUGUAUUAACAUUGCCAUGUCAAGUCAACUAGAAUUUACAAUACAGAAAGUUGUAUUAACAUUGCCUAUUUGAGCACUUGAGGCACUUUGCCUAUUUCCUCAAAAUCAACCCACUUAAGCUUGCAAGAGAGCCUUCAAGAUACGAGUAGACAACUUCAACAGAAGGUUCAGGCAUAAAAAGGGCCUGUCACUCAAGGGAACUAAUUCUAAAAAUUAGAAAAGUCAACUAUCAACAACAAAGCUUAUGUAGAAAGUGUAUCCAGGAACAAAAACAGAAAGAUUUUAACUGCUGACAGAUUCAUACCCCAGCAAAUAGAAAAUGAAGAGGCCACAAACAAUAACCCAUCCCAAAGAGAUUGUCUAGGAUGUUUUAAGCUAGGAAAAAGAAGAAGAAAACGACGAGCAUUAACCAUGAAUAUUUCAUGUUAUCAUCAACUCUAAUGCGCAGACUGAUAAGAAUCAACUUAACAACUCUUGUUGAAAUAAGAUUAAAUUUACAGGCACAUCUUUCUCGGAAUAGACAACACAAUAACCCUGACCAUGCUCGACCUUGAGGUGAGUUAUAAAAUGUUCUUCCUAACUAGAUGCACAGCUACGCCUUUGGGGUGAAGUGAACUAAGUCAUUUCUGCAGUUUUUUAAAAUUCUUCUCUUCUACAUUUCUGCAGUAAAAUUAUUUACAUAGAGUAACAUAUAAAUUUUGGUUUACUAUUUAUUCUUGAUUAUGCCAUCAAGAAUAAAAGAUUAAGUAAACUUGAAAAAUAGUAUUACAAUCACAUUGCUAUCACCAAAGAGCAAGCAAUAAAUUGUUUUAUAAUAAUUUAUUGUCAAUUUAUUGAUUUUAAUUUGUGGCUAUCUAUACAAAAUAGAUCUGCUAGAUUUAUCAAAAUUGAAAAUAAUAUUGAGAUUUCUAAAACUAAAAGUUAAUAUACAAAAAUGAUAAAAAGUUAAUUUUUAUAGAUUUUAAAGCAUGAAUAUUUUAUAGUAUACAUCCUAUAAAAGUUAAUUUGAUAGAAUUAUAUUAUAUAAAAAUGCUUAGAGAUAUAUAUAGCAUGCUUUACAAGUACCUCAUGAAGGAACUAAUAAGUCAAAAAAUCUAAAAUUGAGAUGUUAAUUCAUCAAUAAGAAUUGUUCAAAAUGUUUGGUGAAUUCAUAACUAAAAUGUUUAGUAAAAUUAGUUUGGAUGUUUUUAGUAAUGCGGAAAUUAUAGAGAAUUGAUUAUUAAGUUGAUUUUUUUAUAUGCGUAGAAAUCAUCAUUAUAAAUUUAAUAAACUAUUUCAAGUGUUCCAAUAGAAAAAAAAUGGGUGUUGUGAAUUUGAGUCUGUAUUUUUCUCUACUUUCUUUUUGGUUUUUUCGUUUGUCCCUUCCUAAAAAUUUGUGCUCAGUUUUUGCCUUCUACCUGCUCCUUAGUUUAGGGUAUUAAAUUUCCUUGUUUCUUCAGAAGAUGCCUUACUCUUUGUUGAUUGCCUGUCUGUUUCCAAGAUAUAUAAGUGAAUUAGUUGCAACACAUUACAAUAGCGUGUACUCGGAGUAAGAAAACUUUUAUACAUGCACUGUAAUUGACAAAGAAAAGAAGAGAAAUCCCUUUUAAUUUAUGAAAAUACAAUGAGUUAACUUUGUUGAUUCCGGAGCACCGACUACAUCGCAGGCCAUGCCUGAUAAUCCAUUAAUCAUCUGAUCUAGAAGGAAAUGCAAAUUACUAUACUGAGAACUGCUAAGAUCAACCACAACAGAAAACAGAUGAACAUGCAAGAAGAAUGCAGAGCUCAAAAUUAACUCUCCUCUGGUUCGCAAAUUUAUGUCUCCUAGAUCCUUUGCAGCAGUUGCACUAGCAAAUUCAUAUCCUUUCACCUCGAUUUUUUUCCUGCUCCUGGAUUCCUCUUAAGUUGCCAGAGACUUGGCUUUCUCAGCUAUCCAAGGACCAGUCACGGGGUCUUCCUGCCAAAGCACACUAGUUGUACAUAGGCAACCAGCUCUAGCUAUUACUCACAGACGCAAUCUUCUGUGCACAAAAUCUAUACCUUGGCAUCAAAGUAGACAAGGUAGUUCCAUCCUCAUUGACCAAGUAAACCUCGAGAUUACUAACAUUCAAAUGCAAAGAACAUAUGGUCCUUGCUGCAUGCCUUUUCCAUGAACUGGAAUUCCAUGUUGGGCUUUCCAAGAUCGCCGGUGAAGAAAUAUCAACAGCAAUAAAUUGAUUCCAGGGAGAGUGGCCUCCAAUAUCUCCACCACUUACAAAUGGGAAACAUAGUAUUACCCUCGCCUUAAGGACUGAUAUGCUACCAAUGGAAAAAAUAAAAAUAAAUAAGAGUAUAUUUUGACAGGUAAAAAAACUUGUAAGAAAAAAAAAAGAGAAUUUGUGUAAGAAAUACACCUGUUUAUUUUCGCGUGUUCGUUAACCAUGUUAUAACCAAUUUCUUUUUAAUUUAUAAUUUAAGAAAAAGUAUAUAUGGAAUAUUUCUUGUAAGGAUAUAUUAUACAUAUAUAUAUUUGGUUAGAAGAUUCACUCUUUUUCUCACAUGAUUCUAAGUUCUAGGAGAGACAUUUUAAGAGAUAGCUAGCAUCAAACACCCCCAAGCCUUCCUUCCCAGGAGAAAAAAAAAGAAAAGGCAAGAAAGAAAGAAAGAACUGAUACUAGAAGAUAGAAGAUAAAGCUACAUCGAUCAACACCUAUAUUUUAUGCGAGGAGUAGCUUCUUCUUCUUCUUCUUCACAAAGGAUUACUCCAAAAAUCUUGGCCGAAUAGCUUGAUUCUUUUCCGAGCUUGAAUUGCCAAUUCCAGAUCUUCAGCUCCCUUCAUGUCCACCACAGAGAAGGUGACUUCAUCACCUUUUUUGAGAUCCCUUUUUUUAGGCUAACUCAAUCCAACCUCGUGAAGACAGGACUGGUUUAAGGUGAUCAACUCAGUUUUUUGUCUUGUACAACAUCGGAACCUCCACCUCUUGUCAUGGAUGUCAAUACGUUCAAGCCAAAACUAGAAUACCAAGAGAGUUAAUUAAUUCAUUUACUUUUCAGAAUGUUCUCCCCUGCACUUGGCAGAAAAGGCCUCUUUUUUAUACAUGGAAGGUUAUUUUGACUAGUUAAAAAAUAUUAUUAUUUUAAUAAAAAUAAUUGGUUUAUAUCGAUGAUAUAAUAUGAUGACCUUAAGGAUUUAUCCAAUUACCCUGUAAUUUUUUUUUCUAGAUAAAUUAAUGGGUUUACAGAUAUAAUUUCAAACUCAAAACAAAUCGAGAAAAAGACGUAGUAUACUUCCUUAGGUAUGAGGACAAAGCUAUGAUAAUAUUUAAAUAUUAUUUAGUCAUUGCAUUGCAUUGCAUUGCAUUGCAUUGAUAAUAUAAAUAUUUUUUUCUUUCUUUUCUAGAAACAGACAACCUAAAGAUCAAUAAAUCCGAGAAACGAACGACGAACCAACAAACUGACGUUACAACUAUCGACUAGUGGCUCAACGUCGCAUCACUUUAGCUUUACCUUUCGAUUAUUUUUCUCUUAUAUGUUAUUUAAUUUAAUUGUAUAUAUUUAUAUACUUAUUCACUGUGAGCUUGAUUGAUUAGAUAACAAAAGAAAUUAGCAAAAUGUCCUAAAACAAUCUUUUAUCCCGAGGAUCCAUCAAAUUAUUUUAUAUCUAUUUAUUUUACUAUACUGUGUUAUUAUGCGAGUUGAAUUAAAAAAGAAAUUGAGUAAAAAAGAAAUAUUCAGAUUUUUAGCAUUUAUUAAAUCCGAUUCAACAAAUUAAUAUUAAAAUUUUCUGAUUUAAUUUUUUUUUCUUACUCAAGUUUUAAAUUUAACUAUAUGGAAGUUGUUUUAAUAUGUUUUAGUCGACUUAACAAGUCUGAAAACAACCCAGAUAAUAGGUAGAAAUAUGGUCUAACUUAAUUUUUUUAUGUAUUUUUUUUGUAUUAAAACAAAAACAUAUUAGAUCGAUCGAGGCUUUGUGGCUUAACUUGUUGAACUCGUAAUCCUACUUAUGAACUCCAUUGAAUUUAAUAAAUUUGUUUAUGAUUGUUUUGUAUAAGGUUAUUGUAAUUUCAAAUAAACUUCCUGGUACUUAGUUUAUAUUUAAUUCUAUAAAAAUCUAUUUCAAAAUUAAAUAUCCCAUUGAGUUUUAGAUAAUCAAUAAGGUUUAAGUUUCUAAUAUUAUAUUUCUAGGUCAGAAUCAAUUUUUUUAUUAAAAAAAUGACAUUGUUUUGUUUAAAAAAUUGAUCUAGUUAACCCAAAAAGUCACAAGUAAAUCAACAAUUCAACAAAAUAGAUUUUUAACAUGAUCAAAACCAGAACCAGGUUGGACGACCACGCCAUAAGUUGCAUCUUAUUUUUGUCUUUGCAACACAAUAAUACUUACAAACAAUAAAUAACUAAUUUGACAAGUCGUGCGAUUCACAUGGAUUGAACCCCACAUUACACACGGAACAGACAAUACAAUAACCCUGAAUUCGACCAUGCUCGACCUUGAGUUAAGUUGUAAAAUGUUCUUCCUAACUAGAUGCACAGCUACGCCUUAGGGAGGGAGGGAGGGAGGGAGCAAAGUGAAAUACAUGACUUUAUUCUUAUUUACUUUUUAAUUUUUUUUUUAAAUUGAUUAAUUUAAUUUAUUAUAUUUGGUUUUUAUAUUUUUAAUUAAUAUUUAUUUUAUUUGUAAUAAUUUAUAAAAUUAUAAUUAAUUUUUUAAUUUUAUUAUCUUUUAAUUUUUUUUAUCUGUUAUGUGAAGCUAUAUCCCUAUAUAUAAAAAAUGAUUUGACUGUGCUUGGGAUUGGGUGGAUGCCUACAUAGUUUUCUGAACAGGCCUUGAUCUUUAUUAGGGCAGAAAAUGAGCUACGUAGCUCUAACCUUCUAUUCAUGUCUUUUUCCAAAAAGACUUUGACUUGUAGUAUACUUUCUAAUAUCUCGUUUGUUUUUUUUUUUUUUUAAGUAUUAUUAAAAAAAUUUAAAAAAAUUUAUUCUUUUUACUUUAAAUUUAUAUAUUUUUUAUGUUUUUAGAUCAUUUUGAUAUGAUAAUGUUAGAAAUAAUUUUUAAAAAUUAAAUAAAAUUUUAUUUUAUUAUAUUUUUAAACAAAAAAUAUUCUGAAAAGCAAUCGUUAUCACAAUUCUAAAUAUUUAUAGAAGGAAUACAAGUUUUCUGUUAUUUACUUUUAAAAAAAUUAAAAAAAUAGCGCAGCUCAGCCUCCUUCCACUCAGAGAUGCCUUCUCUAACCUUCAAGCGUCUCUUUUUUCUUUUUUUUUCCUCUAGCUACUCAUAUGUCAUUGCGGCGACAAUUGCUUACUAGGGACAACAUUAGCUUUUUAGCUUCCAUUGGUUUAUCCAUGCAUUGCCUCUUUCAUUUCUUAACUGAUCGAUCGUUUUUAACAUUCCAUGUUGAUUUAUUUUUUCUAGAUGAAGCUCUCAAAUGUACAACUUAGGCUAUAUGAACAUCACCCUUUUGCUCACACAUACAUAUAAAAGAACUUUGGCAUGCUCAAUUGUCUUACUAUGGCUUUGUCUAAAAUAUGAUGAUUGAUCUUUCGCUUAAGAGUUACUUUCCAUGCCAUUGUUCAUUCUUCUCCCUUUCAAUUUGCCUUAGCAUUUGUUGUUUCCCUUUCAAUUCUUCUACUUUUUAUGAUGUUCAAAAGAAAAUUUUCCACCAACUACUUUAAAUGUUAUGUUCAAAGGACAUUAGUUCCACUGUUACUUUUAGCCUGGUGUUCACGAGGAAACAAUGAGAAACUGGAUUUGCCUUUCCUGCCUUUCCAACUUCCAUUAACAGUUUGAGUGGCUUGCACAAUAGAUAGCUUUUGUUGUCUUUUUUCUUUUCAUUUGUAAUUCACAACAAUAGAUUGGAUCUAAUUAUCUUGGUCUGGAAUUAACAUGAAAAAAGGAAAAAGAAAAAAGAAACAUACAUUCUCUACUUUAGAUGGCUUGAGCAUUGUUAAUUUGCUAAAAAAACAGAUUGGGUCGGAUUAUCUUGGUCUGAAUUGAAAUUUGCAGGCAAAAAAUACAGAAACUUGCAUUGUCUGCUUUAGAUGGCUUGAGCAUUGCUUGCUAGAUGUUCAUUAAUUUCUCCUUUUGGAAUGGACACUUGCAUAUUUGACAGAUCAUGCUACUUUUUUCACGCUAUUAUUGUUCUCUUUUGAACUGCCAAGAUGAUUUGUUGGAUAAUAGCCACUGUAAUUAGAGAAACUGAAAUAAUUUAUAGUCUGCAAGUCUGUAAAUUCAUUACGGCAGUCAUGUUUUUAUCCAAACAUUUGCCAAGAGUCAAGAUCAACGGUAAAUCAAUAACAAAAAGAUGACAAAAAACUCUUAAGAUAAAAGUGACAAAAUUCAUAAAACUCAAAGGCCAAUAAUUUAAUAUCAAAUGAUAAGAUUAAAAAAAUCAAUUAAAAAAAUUAAAUCAAUCCAAGUUAACUUGAAUUAUUUGCGACCUGGGAUAUGAGAUAGGAAUAACCUUGCAAAAAAAUAACCAAAACAAAUAACAAAGUUGAAAGCCUAAUAACUCAAGGUUGAUGAUAAAAAAAAAUUAAUUUUCAAAAAGAACUUUAAAAAAAUACCAAACUUAAACUAGUUGACAUUCAAAAUUGGUAGAUUGAGUUAUGAGACUAGGACAACAAAAGAUAAUGAAGCAAAAUUUUCAAUCAUAAAAAAACAAAAAUCCAAACAAUGAGGACAAAUUCUUAUACAAAAAAUCAUUGAAAAAAAAUAGUGAGGGAUUAAAUUGAAAAACAAAAUAAAUGAAGAAAAUAAUAAACAAAAGAUCAAUAAAAAAAAAUAAGGACUGAAAUUGCAAACAAAAUAAAAUAAAAUAAAAUGUUGAAGGAUAAAAUUAAAAAAAUAAUAAGUGAAUGACAAAAAAAAAGUAAUCAAAAGAAUAUAGAUCAAGUGUAAUAUAAAAAUUAAAUGAAAUAAAAUGCUGAGGGAUGAAAUUGAAAAAAAAAUCUUGAAAAAGUAUCAAAAUCAAAAUAAAUAGAAAUCAAAAUCAUAAGAAUCAAACUUAAUAUAAAUACAAUCCAAAUAAUACAAUUGAAAUUUUAAAGGCUUGGCUUGAAUAUUAAAGCCCAAGAGAGAGGGCGAGGAGAAAAAUACUCUAUCACCGUCAAACCACUACAAAUAUGAUGACACGUCACACCAUUAACUAUACCUUCACAUUACACGUUGGACUAUCACACGCCUCUUGAAUGACGUGGUGGACUAUCACACGCUGACACGUGUUACGCACAUGUCAACCUCUUUUAUUGAUUUAUUAAUAUUUCAAUACUUUAAAUUACUAAAUAGCCCUUAAGAGCAUCUAAAUAUUAUAAAAAAAGCUAUAUUGCAAAGAUGAAAACACUAUCCCAUUUCAACUUUAGAUUUUUUUUUAUUCUAAGGUUAACUACGUCAUUUUACAUUAUACAAAAUAUGGAAAAGACUAAAAAAAGCCUCAUGUUAAGGUCAAUAUUUUUAAACUCUCAAGGGUAUUGACAUUAUUUAAUACUGACAUUAUUUAACUAUGCGAAUAAAAUAAAAAAGAUAAAAUAGACCUUUAGCAAAAGGCAAAUUGUUUUUUUGCUUACAAGGGCAAUGAUGUAGUUUUAAUAUGCAAAAAAGGAGUAAACCUACUAAAUUAUCCCCAAUCAAUUUACAAAGAACCUUUAGAUCCAUUAAAAAAAAAAACAACUUUACCCCAUUAGUAACGCAAUUGUUUUAUGUAGAGAAGGGCAAAAAUUAAAUAUAUUGUGCUAAUCUAUAGUGUUUUACCUCAUGGUCUUUAAUAAAUCAAUGAUCUUUUAGGUUUUUUUUUUUUACUUUUUUAUUUUAAUUCCACUUUGGUUUAGUUCAUGUUUAGAUUCUUAACAUGCAUUCUCAAACCAAAUCUCUCCUCUCUUGUACGCAUAUAUGUUUUUUAAAAAAUAUUUUAUAAUAUCUGCCAAUGUUUAUUUAUUUAUUUUUUUUUGCUUUAAAAAAAUUAGAAUAACCCGUAGUAUAGGUCACCUGUCUAGUUGGAUAGUAUAGUGAUGUGUUUAUUUUUAUAUGAAUAAGAAAGCACUUUAUUUUUUAAAAGAAUUAGUUUUUUUUCUUUUUGAUUUGGUUCUGUUUUUUUUUUUUUUACAAAUUAGUCCUUUUUUUUGUUUAAUUCCUUUUUGGCCUAAUUAUAUGAGAAAAAAUUUUCAAAUUAAUUAGAAAUAAACUACUAUACAAAAAAAGUAAUGUUUCUCUACUUCCUUCAAUUUAUAUAUAUAUAUAUAUAUAUAUAUAUAUAUAUAUAUAUAUUUUAAAUUGGUCUUUAUAUUUUUUCACUUCUUGAUUUGGUGUUUUUUCAUUUUUUUUUCCUUUCAUUUUUUUACAAAUCAGGCUUUAGAAAUUUUCUUCCCUUUUUUAUUUAACUCUUUUUGGGUCUAUGAGAUAAAGAUUUUAAUUUAAUUAAAAAUUAUUUAUUAUACUAAAAAAGUUAGGUUUUCCCUCCUGCUUCACUAUCAUAUCCUCCCCUUUUAAAAAAAUAAAUAAAAUUCUAUUUUCUAAUUUUUUUUCUUCUUUUGAUUGAAUGAUUUUUGCCCUUUUUUUUCCCUUCCAAUUUCACUUUAAUAUUUUGUUGAUUUUAAAUUGAUCAUCAUAAUUUAUUUUUAAUUUCUUUACAUAUAUUUAUCAUAGUCUCAAACAAAUAUCACUAAAUUUGUUAAUAUCUUAAUUUUAUAAGUGUAUAUUUUAGUUAUCAUACCAUUAUAUAAAAAAUAGUUUUUAAGCCUAGUGAAGUUUAUGAUCUAGGUUGCGUAUUUGAUAAGUUAAACCACGAAGCUCAAGUUGAUCUCAUAUAUUAUCGUCUUAAUAUUAAAAAAAAUUAUCAUCUUGAUUUUUUUUUUCUUAAAAUCCAAUCCAUGUUUUUAUUGGUCAUUUGAGUUGCCUUAACUAGGUCAUGUAUAGACAACUUCGUUGCGAAUUAAUUUUAAACCUAUGCUAGGCAAGAAAUCAAGUCAAGAGGUCAGGAUCAAGUUUAAUAACAAUGUUAUUGUUCCUUUGUUUUUAGACCCUACCUUCUAUUUUUUUUUAAUUAAAUCCUUUUAAGCUUUUCUCUAGUUUUAUCCUUUAACUGAUUACAUUUCGUUUUACUUUCUGUAAUCUUAUUUAAAUCUCAAAUAUAUAACUUUAUAUUUAAUUGAUGCUUGAUUUUACAAGCAAUUAUUUUUGUUAUUAUAUUUUUAAGUUAAAAAUAAUUAAAAAACAUAAACCAAAUGGAAUCCAUUAUUCAUGUUAUGGUUUUAAAGAAUUAAGUUAUAAAACCUAAAUUAAUCUAAUAUAUUAUCAUAUUAAUAUUAAAAAAAAAUUAAAACCAAAUUAUAUUUUUUUUUAUCGGCCAUAUGAGUUGACUUUGAACAUUACAUUGAUUUUAACAAUGUCAUGUAAGGACAACUUUUACGUUGGUGAUAUAGAUAAGAAGUCAAGAUGAGAGGAGAAUUUACUAUUAAUCCACUACUUUUUUAUGUUGCGCAAAACAUAAACCAGAUCCUUCCAAAAUAUUUAUUUAACCAGUGUCUGUUUUAUGUGAAACAAACAAAUUAAUCCCUCAAGUUUUUUAAAUAAUUAAUUGAUUCUUUAAUCACAUUUUACCGUCAAGUUAGUGGAACAAGCUAAGGAAAUAUUGCUGAGAGCUCAACAUUUGACUAACAAAAAACUAAUGAAGGGACCAGUUUAUUAGCAUAAUGUAAAAGUACAGGGAAAAGAUUUAAAAGAUCUAGUUAUCAGCAACAAAACAACCAAAACAAAAAGCUAUUUCACUGUUCAGUGUCUCACUGUAGAAAUGGUACUUUGUAAUUCCAGGGAAGAUUAGUUUUCCCUUUGGGAAUGGCCAUCUGCAGAUAUCCCUGCAUUAUAUGUUUUGAUUAAAGCAUGGUAUAUACAUAGCAAUAGAAAACAAAAGGUUAGGAUGUUUAGAAAUUCAAUGCUUUACCAUUGCCAGUAGGUUAGGUCUCCAUUGUAAGCAUCUUCAGAGAUAUUUUACGCAGAUAAUCA